CAGUCGCCGCGGUAAUACGAAGGGUGCAAGCGUUAAUCGGAAUUACUGGGCGUAAAGCGUGCGUAGGCGGUUUGUUAAGUCUGCUGUGAAAUCCCCGGGCCCAACCUGGGAAUGGCAGUGGAUACUGGCAAGCUAGAGUGUGUCAGAGGAUGGUGGAAUUCCCGGUGUAGCGGUGAAAUGCGUAGAGAUCGGGAGGAACAUCAGUGGCGAAGGCGGCCAUCUGGGACAACACUGACGCUGAGGCACGAAAGCGUGGGGAGCAAACAGGAUUAGAUACCCCCGUAGUCCCUGUCUCUUAUAC
rnacentral:rRNA from 1 species